AGCGACCACUGGAGAGGGACACUAAGGACUGCUCCUGGAUCUUGUUUAAACACAAGGAGCUGGGUUUCGAAGACUCCACGAGGGACUUUAGGACCCUACGUUACUUAUCGACAUAAAAAGAGGAGAAGAUAAAGCCUCACAAUUCUUCCUCCCACUUCCUCAGACCCUUCGUAAAGGCGUGACCUGCUUCAAGAAACACGAUAUUUGAAAAUAUGAAAUCUACACAUCGAGACACAUUAAGAGUGACUGUUCGCAUGACAAAAGGGUUUGCCACUUUACAAAAGAUUCAUCCCAGUGUUUCUUAAAGAACCAUACAACUGUGAUGUAUUUUAAAUGUCUUUCAAUUAAAAGAAUUG
rnacentral:lncRNA from 1 species